rnacentral:lncRNA from 1 species
GGUUUUGAUACAAACUUUGUCCUCACUGGCGGCCAUAAUUAACUUCGGAUCAUGUCAAACGCAACAGCUCUUUUUAAAAACAUCGGAAACUAGGUACACAAUGUAUAUUUAUACUAAGUUUAAACUCAGUCAUUUUAGUGUUUAUAAAAAGAAUAUUUUGAACAUUUUUAAAGUCCCUUGGCGGUCAUGUGUUUUAACCAGUUUGUAACUAUAAGUUACAACACUUGAAUAGG